GCCAGACUCCUACGGGAGGCAGCAGUGGGGGAUAUUGCACAAUGGGGGGAACCCUGAUGCAGCGACGCCGCGUGGGUGAAGGAGCGUUUCGGCGCGUAAAGCCCUAUCGGCAGGGAAGAAGGAGGACGGUACCUGACUAAGAAGCCCCGGCUAACUACGUGCCCGCAGCCGCGGGGAUACGUAGGGGGCAAGCGUUAUCCGGAUUUACUGGGUGUAAAGGGGGCGCAGACGGCAGCGCAAGCCAGGAGUGAAAGCCCGGGGCCCAACCCCGGGACUGCUCUUGGAACUGCGCGGCUGGAGUGCAGGAGGGGCAGGCGGAAUUCCUGGUGUAGCGGUGAAAUGCGUAGAUAUCAGGAGGAACACCGGUGGCGAAGGCGGCCUGCUGGACUGCGACUGACGUUGAGGCCCGAAAGCGUGGGGAGCAAACAGGAUUAGAUACCCCAGUAC
rnacentral:rRNA from 1 species